GUCGUAACACCCCGUUUACGACAAAGUUACAACGUAUAUUACCCUCGUAAAAAAUAUGUUUUCUUGUAGUGAAACCACAAAAGACUUAAUGCGUGAUCCUGCUGGAUUCAUCUGGAUCUUUUGCAAAGCCACUGAUUCUUUUCUUUCUUGGGCACACCAUCAUCUGAAGCUACCGGUAAAAAUGAGAAACCAAAUCUGAUUCUUCUUGAUUCAUUCAUGUCUAUAUGUUCAGCGAAAUCAAGAAAGGGAACAAAAGGAAGAGAGAGAGAGAGAGAGAGAGAGAGAGAGAGAGAGAGAGAGAGAGAGAGAGAGAGGAAACCAAAACCACAUCACUUAGCCAUCAUGACCUUAACAAACUCCUCAUAGUUAAUCUGACCAUCACCAUCAACAUCAGCUUCCUUGAUCAUCUCAUCAACCUCUUCAUCGGUAAGCUUCUCGCCUAAGUUUGUCAUCACAUGACGGAGCUCAGCAGCCGAGAUAAAACCGUUCUGGUCCUUGU